AGCCACUGCUAUUGGAAUGCGACUAAGCCAUGCGAGUCAAGGGGCUCUUCGGAGCACCGGCGUACGGCUCAGUAACAUGUGGGUAACCUACCCUCAGGUGGUGGAUAACCUCGGGAAACUGAGGCUAAUACUCCAUAGAUAAAAGAUACUGGAAUGUUCUUUUAUCGAAAACUCUGGUGCCUGAGGAUGGGCCUGCGCCCGAUUAGGUUGUUGGUGAGGUAGUGGCUCACCAAGCCUACGAUCGGUACGGGUCGUGAGAGCGAUAGCCCGGAGAUGGGGACUGAGACAAGGCCCCAGGCCCUACGGGGCGCAGCAGGCGCGAAAUCUCUCCAAUGUGUGAAAACAUGAGAGGGGUAUUCCAAGUGUCCUUGUUUUACAAGGACUUUUAUUCGGUUUAAGACGCUGGAAGAAUAAGAGCUGGUAAGACCGGUGCCAGCCGCCGCGGUAACACCGGCAGCUCGAGUGGUGGCCGCUAUUAUUGGGCCUAAAGCGUUCGUAGCCGGGCAGGUAAGUGUUCUGGUAAAUCCCAUAACUUAAUUAUGGGGCUUCAGAAUAUACUGCCUGCCUUGAGACCGGGAGAGGCUGGAGGUACUUUCGGGGUAGGGGUAAUAUCCUAUAAUCCCGAAAGGACCACCGGUGGCGAAGGCGUCCAGCCAGAACGGGUCAGACGGUGAGGGACGAAACCCAGGGGAGCGAGUCGGAUUAGAUACCCGAGUAGUCCUGGGCGUAAAUGAUGUGGGCUAGGUGCAAAGCUACCUAAGUGGUAGCUUGGUGCCGAUGGGAAGCCGUUAAGCCCACCGCCUGGGGAGUACGGCCGCAAGGCUGAAACUUAAAGGAAUUGGCGGGUGAGCACCACAAGGGGUGGAGGCUGCGGUUU
rnacentral:rRNA from 1 species